rnacentral:rRNA from 1 species
AUUGAACGCUGGCGGCAGGCCUAACACAUGCAAGUCGAGCGGAUGAAGGGAGCUUGCUCCUGGAUUCAGCGGCGGACGGGUGAGUAAUGCCUAGGAAUCUGUCUGGUAGUGGGGGAUAACGUCCGGAAACGGGCGCUAAUACCGCAUACGUCCUGAGGGAGAAAGUGGGGGAUCUUCGGACCUCACGCUAUCAGAUGAGCCUAGGUCGGAUUAGCUAGUUGGUGGGGUAAAGGCCUACCAAGGCGACGAUCCGUAACUGGUCUGAGAGGAUGAUCAGUCACACUGGAACUGAGACACGGUCCAGACUCCUACGGGAGGCAGCAGUGGGGAAUAUUGGACAAUGGGCGAAAGCCUGAUCCAGCCAUGCCGCGUGUGUGAAGAAGGUCUUCGGAUUGUAAAGCACUUUAAGUUGGGAGGAAGGGCAGUAAGUUAAUACCUUGCUGUCUUGACGUUACCAACAGAAUAAGCACCGGCUAACUUCGUG